GACGAACGCUGGCGGCGUGCUUAACACAUGCAAGUCGAACGGAAAGGCCCUGCUUUUGUGGGGUGCUCGAGUGGCGAACGGGUGAGUAACACGUGAGUAACCUGCCCUUGACUUUGGGAUAACUUCAGGAAACUGGGGCUAAUACCGGAUAGGAGCUCCUGCUGCAUGGUGGGGGUUGGAAAGUUUCGGCGGUUGGGGAUGGACUCGCGGCUUAUCAGCUUGUUGGUGGGGUAGUGGCUUACCAAGGCUUUGACGGGUAGCCGGCCUGAGAGGGUGACCGGCCACAUUGGGACUGAGAUACGGCCCAGACUCCUACGGGAGGCGGCAGUGGGGAAUAUUGCACAAUGGGCGGAAGCCUGAUGCAGCAACGCCGCGUGCGGGAUGACGGCCUUCGGGUUGUAAACCGCUUUCGCCUGUGACGAAGCGUGAGUGACGGGAAUGGGUAAAGAAGCACCGGCUAACUACG
rnacentral:rRNA from 1 species